CAAUGUCACUUUGAUAAAUUUAAACUCAUGUCAUACAUAUACAACUUCUUCAUAAUAAAGUCCUGUGGUAGUAAGAGGAUUUAUUCCUAGGUAAAUAAUUUAAAAUCUACCCAUUUCUAUAAUUUUUGUAAAAUUACACAAAUUUGAUAAAAUUACAGCAACAAAGCUAUUUGAUAUUAAAACAGAGAGACGAUAUUGAAGUUUCCAAGGGGAACUCUCUUCAGCAGGUACAAGAACGCGGAUUGUAAGUGAAGCACACUUGUAGAAAGCUGUCAUGGAGUAAAAGAUAAGUUACAUUGAAGACAUGAGAUCAUAGCCCUUACAAGAGGGUGCAUCAUGAACAUUAGGUUCUCUAGGGAAGCCAUUGCUUAGUUGUUCUUCGAGUUGAAGGAUGUGUCUAGUGCAUGGAUAGCAUGCAAUUGAAACAUAUGUAUGAGUCAGAAAAUUGAAGAAGCUUCGCAUGAAUCUUUGUCCCAUUUUAUCAGGCUAUCACCACCACCCCUAUCGAUCCAACUCAUGCCUUCUAAUUAGAGUUUCACCUUCAUCUUAAAUAAACCCAUAUUUGGGUUUUCCUUCUGCAAAUUAUUCACAAACAGCUUUAGAAAUAUACCACUGCUUUCUCCAAAUUCCUUUCUUAGCAAUAAUGAAAUUUUAUAUCAAGAAUAACUUUAGGUCUUAAAACAUUAUAAUAAGAACUAAAGAAGUCUUGAGUUGAUUGAAGAAUGUACAAGAGUUGUGUAAUCUCGUUAUUGACUUUUAUGAAGAAAAAAAAUGUUAUAAUAAGACAAGGAUUUUAGUGGGUUAGGAACAAUCAUACUCUCUCUUGUUUACUUAUUGUCAUUUGAUUCUUAAGGUUGAAAACGAUCUAUUUUUGCCUUUAUUUCAUUUUUUAUUAUUGAUUAAAAUUUAUUAAAUCAUGAAUACCACUUAUUAAUGAAAAAAAAGAGGUAUUCUAACAUUACUUCAUAUUAAAAUUGAAACUUCCAAUUUUUUUUCAAUAUUCUUUUAUUAUAUAUAAUCUAUAUAUAUUUGUAGCAAUUUAUUUAUAUAUAGCAAUAUGCAAAUAGGGAAAAAAAUCAAAAUUAAAAAAAUUAAAAUGUAUAAUAUUUGUAGUUUGAUUAAUACAUUUCAAAUCUUAGAAUCUUUUAAGAAACUUUUACUAUAUCUAAUUUGAUUUUAAAUAAAUUUUAUCACUUCACCGUUAAUUUUAACCAUCUUUAUAAAUUUUGUUUCAAUAAUAAUGUUUUAUAAGCCUCGCAUUUCUAUACUUGUUUAUUAAAAAUAUAAUUCUUUUAUAAUUUAAAAUUUAAUUAUUAGAAUUAAAUUUUAAUUUAAUGAUAGUAUUCUAAAUAGUACGUAUUAUUAAUAUUAAAUAAAUUGUUCAAAAGCUUUAGAAUCUUAUAUAAAAUUAAGAUCUUAAUAUUUUAAAAGUCUUUUAUGUUAUGAUACAUAAAAAAUGUUCCAAGAGAAUAUGUUACUAGAUCUAACUCUUGCCCCAAAUCAAAGUAUGUAUUUCUAUUCGCUAAUUCUAUUAUUAUCAACCUCUUUAUUAAGGCUUCAAAACUUGAAAACAACACUACCAAUAAUUACCUUUCCUUACACAAAAAGCCAGUGAUGCUCGCAUCUUUUGUUAUGUGAUUUUGGUUUUUGAAGUAUUAUAGAACUCAUCAAGCAUCGAAAUGAUCGAUCCUUCUGUUUGUUUGCUUCAUUAUUACUUAAUUUCCAACAUAGAUUACAAAGCCCCACAAUCACAAUUGUUUUAGAUCCCCCAUUAACUUUAUUAACAAAAAUAAAAAGGGAAAAACUUAUCAUUUUUCAAAAUAACAUAUUAUCCUACAAAACCUUAAUAAAAUAAUCUAAAAGUUAGAAUAAAAGAAAAAACUCAUUAAAAACAAAAAGGAAUUUAAUAAGUUGAAAAUCCUAUAUCACAUUAUGAUUGGUAAAAAAAAUAAUAUUUUACUGAAAUAAAACAAUUUCAAAAUUUAUUUAGUGAACAAUCUUAAAAUUUCAUCGAUCAAAACACAAUUGUACAUUAAAAACACCAAUUUACAACUUUAAUUUCACAAAUACAAUUUUAAAAUUAUUCAAUUCUAAUAAAUAUAAUUUCAAAAUUCUUCCUUAGACCAAAAAAUUAUUUCUCUUACUAAUUAUUAUACCGGAGUUCUUAACCUAUCAUUACUCUAUAAAUAAUGGAUUACAUUAUUAGCAAAGACUACUUAUUAAUCAGUAGCACAGUUUUUAUAAAAUAACAAAGAAGAAAGAAGAGAAGAAAAAACACCCCAAGAUUUGUUUAAUGUAACCUAAUCUGGACCUAACUUGGGAUGUGAAGAAGAAUAUUCAAACCAUCAUAUAAAAAGAACAUAAAAGUACGUACCUGAAAGCAACUGUUAUUUGGUUCUAUACGAGACAUAGCUUUGCAUCCCAAAAUUUGAGGUAAACUGAACUUUGAACCAAUAGAUGAAGAACAAGAAGCUAAUGUUGCUUUCAAAAGACACCUUUCACUGAUUCCGGGGCUCCUGAUUCAUUCAAUGGACCACAACACCCAGCAAAUUGUAAGAACAAACAACAGAUAAGAGCUGCUCAUAAAAACACUUCCAUCAUUCUAUGCACAAUGUCUGAUAUUUCAUCAAACUGUAAUAACAUCUGGAUGUUUUUUUUUCCUUUUCUGUUGUGCUAAGCAGAAACAACCAUCGAACAACUAAGAAACGAAAAGGGUUUUAUAUAUAAUAAGGUGAUGAAAAGCAUAGGUUAUAUGAAAAAUAAAGCCAUGAAUUAUGAAGAUACCAUAGAUUAAGCCUCAGGUUGUAAAGAUGAAGAAGAGGGUGAAGGAGGAGCAGCCAAGUUUAGUGUGUGGCCACUCCUCUCGAAAAAGAGCUUCCACCUUAAACCAAAA
rnacentral:lncRNA from 1 species